UACAGAGGGUGCAAGCGUUAAUCGGAAUUACUGGGCGUAAAGCGCGCGUAGGCCGUCGAGUAAGUCGGAUGUGAAAUCCCCGGGCUUAACCUGGGAAUUGCAUUCGAUCCUGCUUGGCUAGAGUGUGGAAGAGGGAAGCGGAAUUUCCGGUGUAGCGGUGAAAUGCGUAGAUAUCGGAAGGAACACCAGUGGCGACGGCGGCUUCCUGGUCCAACACUGACGCUGAGGCGCGAAAGCGUGGGGAGCGAACAGG
rnacentral:rRNA from 1 species